rnacentral:RNase_P_RNA from 1 species
AAAGUGCAGCAGAGAGUAGACCGCCUGCAAACAUCGUUUGUCGGUAAGGGUGAAAGGGUGCGGUAAGAGCGCACCGCACGCGUGGCAACACGUCGUGGCAAGGUAAACCCCACCUGGAGCAAGGCCAAAUAGAGAUCCUUCGACGUUGCCCGCGUUGGAUCCGGGUAGGCCGCUUGAGAUCGUCGGUGACGGCGGUCCUAGAUGAAUGACUGUUCACGACAGAACCCGGCUUAUAGGCUGACUCUCAUU